rnacentral:rRNA from 1 species
AUGAACGCUGGCGGCGUGCCUAACACAUGCAAGUCGAGCGAGAAAUCGCCAAAUGAAGCUUCGGUAGAUUUUAGCGAUGGAAAGCGGCGGACGGGUGAGUAACGCGUAGGCAACCUGCCCCUUGCAGAGGGAUAGCCAUUGGAAACGAUGAUUAAAACCUCAUAACACCGCACUGUCACAUGUCAGAGCGGUCAAAGAUUUAUCGGCAAGGGAUGGGCCUGCGUCUGAUUAGCUUGUUGGUGGGGUAACGGCCUACCAAGGCGACGAUCAGUAGCCGACCUGAGAGGGUGAUCGGCCACAUUGGAACUGAGACACGGUCCAAACUCCUACGGGAGGCAGCAGUGGGGAAUAUUGCACAAUGGGCGAAAGCCUGAUGCAGCAACGCCGCGUGAAGGAAGAAGGUCUUCGGAUCGUAAACUUCUGUCCUAUGGGAAGAUAGUGACGGUACCAUAGGAGGAAGCCCCGGCUAACUACGUGCCAGCAGCCGCGGUAAUACGUAGGGGGCGAGCGUUAUCCGGAAUUAUUGGGCGUAAAGAGUGCGUAGGUGGUAACUUAAGCGCGGGGUUUAAGGCAAUGGCUUAACCGUUGUUCGCCCCGCGAACUGGGAUACUUGAGUGCAGGAGAGGAAAGCGGAAUUCCUAGUGUAGCGGUGAAAUGCGUAGAUAUUAGGAGGAACACCAGUGGCGAAGGCGGCUUUCUGGACUGAAACUGACACUGAGGCACGAAAGUGUGGGGAGCAAACAGGAUUAGAUACCCUGGUAGUCCACGCCGUAAACGAUGAUUGCUAGGUGUAGGUGGGUAUGGACCCAUCGGUGCCGCAGCUAACGCAAUAAGCAAUCCACCUGGGGAGUACGUUCGCAAGAAUGAAACUCAAAGGAAUUGACGGGGACCCGCACAAGCAGCGGAGCAUGUGGUUUAAUUCGAAGCAACGCGAAGAACCUUACCAGGGCUUGACAUCCCUCUGAAACUCUUGAUAACGAUAGAGCCCCUUCGGGCAGAGGAGACAGGUGGUGCAUGGUUGUCGUCAGCUCGUGUCGUGAGAUGUUGGGUUAAGUCCCGCAACGAGCGCAACCCUUGUCAUUAGUUGCCAGCAGUAAGAUGGGCACUCUAAUGAGACUGCCGGGGACAACUCGGAGGAAGGUGGGGAUGACGUCAAAUCAUCAUGCCCCUUAUGUUCUGGGCUACACACGUGCUACAAUGGCCGGUACAAAGAGCAGCGAGGCCGCGAGGCGGAGCAAAUCUCAAAAGCCGGUCCCAGUUCGGAUUGCAGGCUGCAACUCGCCUGCAUGAAGUUGGAGUUGCUAGUAAUCGCAGAUCAGAAUGCUGCGGUGAAUGCGUUCCCGGGUCUUGUACACACCGCCCGUCACACCACGGAAGUCGGGGGUGCCCGAAGUUGGCAGAUAAAUAUGUUACCUAAGGCAAAACCGAUGACUGGGGUG